UACAGAGGGGGCAAGCGUUAUUCGGAAUUAUUGGGCGUAAAGGGCGCGUAGGCGGCCACCGCAAGUCGACUGUGAAAUCUCCGGGCUUAACCCGGAAAGGUCAGCCGAUACUGCGGGGCUAGAGUGCGGAAGGGGCAACUGGAAUUCUCGGUGUAGCGGUGAAAUGCGUAGAUAUCGAGAGGAACACCUGCGGCGAAGGCGGGUUGCUGGGCUGACACUGACGCUGAGGCGCGAAAGCUAGGGGAGCGAACGGG
rnacentral:rRNA from 1 species